CGGGUGAGUAAUGCAUCGGAACGUGCCCAGUAGUGGGGGAUAGCUCGGCGAAAGCCGGAUUAAUACCGCAUACGACCUACGGAUGAAAGCGGGGGACCGCAAGGCCUCGCACUAUUGGAGUGGCCGAUGUCGGAUUAGCUAGUUGGUGGGGUAAAGGCUUACCAAGGCGACGAUCCGUAGCUGGUCUGAGAGGACGAUCAGCCACACUGGAACUGAGACACGGUCCAGACUCC
rnacentral:rRNA from 1 species